CGUGCAUGCUGCAUCUUAUUCCCACACUGUUACUUCCCCUGCGCUAAUUCAACCUCAGCCUGUCUUCUGGGGAUACUUGCUUCCCAAGCUCUUGUGGUGAACAGAUGGGAUCACACAAGCAUUCUCUUUGGAGCAGCUAAGGAGGACUUCUCUUCAACUGUUGCUUUAUCAGCAGUAAUGAGGUUGAUUCAGAUGAACUUUUCAAAGGAAACACAGAUGAAAAGCUAUUUGCAGUUUUAAAUAGGUGAUGAAGGUUAUCAUCAAGCAUUAUCAUGGACCUGCCAGCCUGGUAAGACAAAGCAGAGUUGAUUCUAUAAGUUUGUAUAAAAUACCAUUUUUUCUUCUUGAACUUAUUGGUUAAACUGUAUUCUUUUAGUUAUCAG
rnacentral:lncRNA from 1 species